GGUGGCCAUUUUAUUUUAUUAGAGGAGUUUGUAGUGUAAUCGAUGACCCCCGUUAAAUUUUACUUUAAUUUAGUUUAUAUACCGCCGUUUAGAUAUUUUUUAUAGAAUUUUUCUAUUUAAAUUAAUGUUCGAAAAAUCAGGUCAAGGUGUAGCGUAUAUUAAAGUAUUAGUGAACUACUAUUGAAAUAUAAAUGGAUUAAAUACUUAAAAGUAUUUAUAAAACAGGAUUUAAAAGAAAUAAAAAUAGGUUUAUUUGAAGAGAUUUAAAAACACACAUCGCCCGUCGCUCUU
rnacentral:rRNA from 1 species